rnacentral:rRNA from 1 species
GAUCAUGGCUCAGGAUGAACGCUAGCUACAGGCUUAACACAUGCAAGUCGAGGGGCAGCGGGAUUGAAGCUUGCUUCAAUUGCCGGCGACCGGCGCACGGGUGAGUAACGCGUAUCCAACCUUCCGUACACUCAGGGAUAGCCUUUCGAAGAAAGAAUUAAUACCUGAUGGUAUGUAUGAGAUUGCAUGAUAUCAUCAUUAAAGAUUAUCGUGUACGAUGGGUAG